GUGGGUGUAGCUCAGCUGGUAGAGCGCUGGGUUGUGGUCCCGGAGGUCGCGGGUUCGAGUCCCGUCACUCACCCCA
rnacentral:tRNA from 1 species